rnacentral:tRNA from 1 species
GCCUGCCGGGCUCAGUCGGUAGAGCUUGGGACUCCUGAUCUCGGGGUUGUGAGUUCAAGCCCCACGGUGGGUG